rnacentral:lncRNA from 1 species
AUGGGGUGGAUGUGGGGCUGAUAUGGGGCGCUGUGGGGCAGCACAUGACUCUGUGCCUUAUAGGGCAUGCGGCGCUUCAAGGCACGUGGGGUGCUAUGGGGCAGGUCUCUGUGGGGCACUGUGGGGCAGCUAUGGGGCGCUAUGGGGCAGGUCUCUAUGGGGCAGGUCUCUGUGGGGCACUGUGGGGUGCUAUGGGGCAGCUGUGGGGCAGCACGCUCUCUGCCCCAUAGGACAUGCGUCGCUUCGAGGCGUGUGGGGUGCUAUGGGGCAGGUCUCUAUGGGGCGCUGUGGGGCAGCACGGUCUGUGCCCCAUAGGGCAUGCGGUGCUUCGAGGCGCGUGGGGUGCUAUGGGGCAGGUCUCUGUGGGGCACUGUGGGGUAUUGUGGGAUGCUAUGGGGCAGGUCUCUGUGGGUCACUGUGGGGCAGCUAUGGGGCGCUAUGGGGCAGGUCUCUGUGGGGCACUGUGGGGUGCUAUGGGGCAGCUGUGGGGCACUGUGGGGCAGCACGGUCUCUGCCCCAUAGGGCAUGCGUCGCUUUGAGGCGUGUGGGGUGCUAUGGGGCAGGUCUCUAUGGGGCACUGUGGGAUGCUAUGGGGCAGGUCUCUAUGGGGCACUGUGGGGCAGCUAUGGGGCGCUAUGGGGCAGGUCUCUAUGGGGCACUGUGGGAUGCUAUGGGGCAGGUCUCUAUGGGGCACUGUGGGGCAGCACGGUCUCUGCCCCAUAGGGCAUGCGUCGCUUUGAGGCGUGUGGGGUGCUAUGGGGCAGGUCUCUAUGGGGCGCUGUGGGAUGCUAUGGGGCAGGUCUCUAUGGGGCACUGUGGGGCAGCUAUGGGGCGCUAUGGGGCAGGUCUCUAUGGGGCACUGUGGGGUGCUAUGGGGCAGCUGUGGGGCGCUGUGGGGCAGCUCGCUCUCUGCCCCAUAGGGGAUGCGGCGCUUCGAGGCGUGUGGGGUGCUAUGGGGCAGGUCUCUAUGGGGCACUGUGGGGCGUUAUGGGGCAGGUCUCUGUGGGGUGGUAUGGGGCAGCUGUGGGGCGCUGUGGGGCAGCUCGGUCUGUGCCCCAUAGGGGAUGCGUCGCUUCGAGGCGCGUGGGGCGGUGGUGUCGGCGCUGCAGCGGCUGGGGCUGUUCCGGGGGGAGAGCGAGAAC